rnacentral:rRNA from 1 species
GAUGAACGCUGGCGGCGUGCUUAACACAUGCAAGUCGAACGAAGCAUUUGCGACAGAUUUUUUCGGAAUGAAGUUGCUUAUGACUGAGUGGCGGACGGGUGAGUAACGCGUGGGUAACCUGCCUUGUAAUGGGGGAUAGCAGCUGGAAACGGCUGGUAAUACCGCAUAAGCGCACAAUGUUGCAUGACAUGGUGUGAAAAACUCCGGUGGUAUAAGAUGGACCCGCGUCUGAUUAGCUAGUUGGUGAGAUAACAGCCCACCAAGGCGACGAUCAGUAGCCGACCUGAGAGAGUGACCGGCCACAUAGGGACUGAGACACGGCCCAGACUCCUACGGGAGGCAGCAGUGGUGAAUAUUGCACAAUGGAGGAAACUCUGAUGCAGCGACGCCGCGUGAGUGAAGAAGUAAUUCGUUAUGUAAAGCUCUAUCAGCAGGGAAGAUAGUGACGGUACCUGACUAAGAAGCUCCGGCUAAAUACGUG